rnacentral:tRNA from 1 species
GCCCCCGUAGCUCAGUGGAUAGAGCGACGGUUUCCUAAACCGUAGGUCACAGGUCCGAUUCCUGUCGGGGGUA